rnacentral:lncRNA from 1 species
AGUCUAAAUUUCAAUUGUAAUAACAAAAUAAGAGAGUUGUAAUCAAUCAACUUAACAUCUUAAGAAUUCUCAACAACAAAAUUAGUCUUAUGACUUCAACAUAAUCAAGCAUAAGGAAUAAAAUAAGCGUUUAACCCUACCCGAUAUUACAUGAUCAGAGCAAUGUACCACUAGUAAAAGCGAAAAAAUAAAGAAGUAACUCCAAGAGCUACCUUCCACUUACUUCAUCAAUACUACUCUUGAGUAUCUGCAUGCUGCCCGUGUAAAGGCAACAUUCAAACAAAAGAGGUGAUAAUUCAUAUCAAUAAUAACGAUAUAGAAUGAAGAAUAUAGUACAACAUCUACACAAUCAUGCACAAUAAUAUAUCAUAUUCUUACAUCCAAAUCAUAAUCAACAUCAUAUACGACAACAUCUCAAUUAUCAUCAACAUCAUACAAAACCACAUCUCAAUUAUCAUUAACAUUAUAUGCAACAACAUCUCAUCCAACAACACAUCAACAACAACCAAUACAAAUGCAGAAUUUAUGUAAUGUACUCAACACCGACUCGACAUGCAUGUGGUACCAAAUAUGAGCACCCAGGUUCAUCUCACUCCAUGAUCCCCAUCAUAGGAUCGAUUUCCUCUUGGAACCAGCGCAUACCAAAAUCGCUACCAUUAACAUAGGUAACACUUCACUAAUCCUCCAUAAUAGGAAUUAGCUACUCGCACUCGAUCCAUCACAAUAGGAUCGAGGCUCACCAAAAAUCGUUACCAUCAACAUAGGUAACACUUCACUAAUCCUCCAUAAUAGAAAUUAGAUACUCGCAUACGAUCCAUCACCAUAGAAUUGAGGCUCACCAAAAUUGGACUGAAUCUCGUACAUCAAGAUGCAUGACUCUGAAAUAACAUGCAUUAAUACAAUAAGGUUCACCUGAAGGAUCCCCACACACAUCUCAUCAUUUAUGCAUCACAUCAUUCAUCAUGAAACAACCAAUUUAUGUUACCACGUGAAUAAUAUCAACAAACAAUAGCAACUCAUCAACAUCUUAACAUUAUCGACAUAACAACAUAAUUAUCACACCACGAUAUUACAAUAAUGCAACGAUUCAUCAAUCAAACGUAUAAACCAAUACAUUUAUUAACAUAGUA